UACGUAGGGUGCAAGCGUUAUCCGGAAUUAUUGGGCGUAAAGAGCUCGUAGGCGGUUUGUCGCGUCUGCCGUGAAAGUCCGGGGCUCAACUCCGGAUCUGCGGUGGGUACGGGCAGACUAGAGUGCAGUAGGGGAGACUGGAAUUCCUGGUGUAGCGGUGAAAUGCGCAGAUAUCAGGAGGAACACCGAUGGCGAAGGCAGGUCUCUGGGCAUUAACUGACGCUGAGGAGCGAAAGCAUGGGGAGCGAACAGG
rnacentral:rRNA from 1 species